CAGCCGCCGCGGGAAUACGUAGGGUGCAAGCGUUAAUCGGAAUUACUGGGCGUAAAGCGUGCGCAGGCGGUUUGUUAAGACAGAUGUGAAAUCCCCGGGCUCAACCUGGGAACUGCAUUUGUGACUGGCAAGCUAGAGUGUGGCAGAGGGGGGUGGAAUUCCGCGUGUAGCAGUGAAAUGCGUAGAUAUGCGGAGGAACACCGAUGGCGAAGGCAGCCCCCUGGGCCAACACUGACGCUCAUGCACGAAAGCGUGGGGAGCAAACAGAAUUAGAUACCCCGGUAGUCCCUGUCUCUUAUAC
rnacentral:rRNA from 1 species